UACGAAGGGGGCUAGCGUUGCUCGGAAUCACUGGGCGUAAAGCGCACGUAGGCGGCUUUCUAAGUCAGGGGUGAAAUCCUGGAGCUCAACUCCAGAACUGCCUUUGAUACUGGAGAGCUUGAGUCCGGGAGAGGUGAGUGGAACUGCGAGUGUAGAGGUGAAAUUCGUAGAUAUUCGCAAGAACACCAGUGGCGAAGGCGGCUCACUGGACCGGAACUGACGCUGAUGCGCGAAAGCGUGGGGAGCAAACGGG
rnacentral:rRNA from 1 species